AGAGGGAAGAUGAGAGGAGAGGAUGGGAGGGAGGGGUAACAAAAGUGAAAACAAAAACUAAAAACUAAAAUCUAUUUGAAAUUGUUUUCACUUUCAAGAUUUUGUUUUACUUUUGUUACUCCUCCCUCUCAAUCUUAUUCUCACUCUCAUUUUC
rnacentral:miRNA from 1 species